rfam:Allomyces macrogynus ATCC 38327 genomic scaffold supercont3.30, whole genome shotgun sequence.
GUCGCUUUGGCCGAGUGGUUAAGGCGUUGGACUUGAAAUCCAAUGGGGUCCUCCCGCACAGGUUCGAACCCUGUAGGCGACG